ACCAAAUAAACUUUCUAGUGUUUACAGCUAUAAGAAAAAAAAACAAUAAUAAAGGACUCGAAAAAUUCAUUCAUUAUGCCAAAGAUGCUGGUCAUACACUUUUAUAAAAGGGGAUUCUUAUCUGGGACUAAAUGAUAACAAUUUUGCUACAUGAAUUGAAUUAUGGAGAAGAGAUUAAAAGAAUUUAAAAGGAUUAUUUGUAUAGAUGGAACAAAUAUGAAUUGUUGUUAUGGCAUGGCUAUAUUUUAUCUCUGUAGAAUGCCGAAAACCUAACUGAAUUGCUUCAAAACGGAGAUGGAAUAAGGGA